rnacentral:rRNA from 1 species
CCACGCCGUAAACGAUGAAUGCUAGCUGUUAUAGGUAUCGACCCCUGUAGUAGCGAAGCUAACGCGUUAAGCAUUCCGCCUGUGGAGUACGGUCGCAAGACUAAAACAUAAAGGAAUUGACGGGGACCCGCACAAGCGGUGGAGCGUGUUGUUUAAUUCGAUGGUAAACGAAGAACCUUACCCAGGUUUGACAUCCUUGGAAUUUUGUCGAAAGACGAGAGUGCUUUAUUGAACCAAGUGACAGGUGUUGCAUGGCCGUCGUCAGCUCGUGUCGUGAGAUGUUUGGUUAAGUCCAUCAACGAGCGCAACCCUUAUUGUCUGUUGUAUUUUUCAGGCAAGACUGCCCCGGUAACGGGGAGGAAGGGGGGGAUGAUGUCAGGUCAGUAUUACCCUUACAUCUGGGGCUACAAACACGCUACAAUGGCCGGUACAAAGGGCAGCCAAAGCGCAAGCUGGAGCAAAUCCCAUCAAAGCCGGUCCCAGUUCGGAUAGCAGGCUGAAACUCGCCUGCUUGAAGUCGGAAUCGCUAGUAACGGUAGGUCAGCUAUACUACCGUGAAUACGUUCCCGGGUCUUGUACACACCGCCCGUCAAACCAUGAAAGUCACCAAUACCUGACGUGUUGCCUUCGCAGCAGCCCUACAGGUAGGGGGGAUGUAUUGGGGUU